rnacentral:rRNA from 1 species
UACGUAGGGUGCGAGCGUUGUCCGGAAUUACUGGGCGUAAAGAGCUCGUAGGCGGUUUGUCGCGUCGUCUGUGAAAUCCUGCAACUCAAUUGCAGGCGUGCAGGCGAUACGGGCAGACUUGAGUACUACAGGGGAGACUGGAAUUCCUGGUGUAGCGGUGAAAUGCGCAGAUAUCAGGAGGAACACCGGUGGCGAAGGCGGGUCUCUGGGUAGUAACUGACGCUGAGGAGCGAAAGCGUGGGGAGCGAACAGG